AGGACGAACGCUGGCGGCGUGCUUAACACAUGCAAGUCGAGCGGAAAGGCCCUUCGGGGUACUCGAGCGGCGAACGGGUGAGUAACACGUGAGUAAUCUGCCCCUAGCUCUGGGAUAGCUCCGGGAAACCGGGAUUAAUACCAGAUACGACCACUUUAGACAUCUGCUGUGGUGGAAAGAAUUUCGGCUAGGGAUGAGCUCGCGGCCUAUCAGCUUGUUGGUGAGGUACGGCUCACCAAGGCGACGACGGGGUA
rnacentral:rRNA from 1 species